AGAGCACACAGGAGAGAUCAGAAAAUAGGGUCAAACCGGAUCUGUACGUCUAAAGGAAAGCGUCAGCUGGAAAAUUCUCUCGCGGCAGGUACCAGACGCUGCAGACAACGGCCCAACUGCUCAUCAUCCUCAGGAGGUAACUCACCAAGCCAAACUUACUGCUGUUCCAGAAAGCAUCCCCGAAGCGAGGAUCGUACUGCGAGAUGCACAUCAGGCCAUAUUAUGCGUAGAUAUGAUGAGAGGAUUUGACCAUCGCUCGCUGGAUCAUUCCCAUCAACCCUCCGUGCACCUGGCCCACCUGUUCAGCUCAACAACAACAACAACAACCUCUCUGCUCAUCGGUAAUUUGUCACAAUCAUGAACUCUUAUGAAGACGGAACACACACACACACACA